UGGUCUACUGGUUAAGGCAUCAGGCUAGAAAGCUGAAGACCGUGAGUUCUACUCCCAC
rnacentral:tRNA from 1 species